CAAGGAAUUUUCGGCAAUGGGCGCAAGCCUGACCGAGCAACGCCGCGUGCGGGAUGACGGCCUUCGGGUUGUAAACCGCUUUUCUCGGGGAAGAAUCGGACGGUACCCGAGGAAUCAGCCCCGGCUAACUCUGUGCCAGCAGCCGCGGUAAGACAGAGGGGGCAAGCGUUGUCCGGAUUGACUGGGCGUAAAGCGCACGUAGGUGGUUGGUUGCGUGGUGUGUGAAAGCUCAGGGCUUAACCCUGAUAGGCCAUGCCAAACGGACCGACUCGAGGCUGAGCAGAGGCGGGUGGAAUUGCCGGUGUAGUGGUGAAAUGCGUAGAGAUCGGCAGGAACACCAAGGGGGAACCCAGCCCGCUGGGCCAGACCUGACACUGAGGUGCGACAGCGUGGGGAGCGAACGGGAUUAGAUACCCCGGUAGUCCACGCCGUAAAACGAUGGAUGCUCGCCUUGUGGUGCUUAUCCAUAGCACUGGGAGGCUUAGCUCACGCGGUAAGCAUCCCGCCUGGGAACUACGAGCGCAAGCUUAAAAACUUAAAUGAAUUGACGGGGUCAUAGCUGUUUCCUG
rnacentral:rRNA from 1 species